ACAUGCAAGUCGAGGGGCAGCGGUAUCGAAAGCUUGCUUUCGGUAGCCGGCGACCGGCGCACGGGUGAGUAACGCGUAUCGAACCUACCUCAUACUCGGGAAUAGCCUUGCGAAAGUAAGAUUAAUGCCCGGUGUUUUCAGAGUCCCCGCAUGAGGCUUUGAACAAAGAUUUAUCGGUAUGAGAUGGCGAUGCGUCCCAUUAGCUUGUUGGCGGGGUAACGGCCCACCAAGGCAUCGAUGGGUAGGGGUUCUGAGAGGAAGGUCCCCCACAUUGGAACUGAGACACGGUCCAAACUCCUACGGGAGGCAGCAGUGAGGAAUAUUGGUCAAUGGGCGGAAGCCUGAACCAGCCAAGUAGCGUGCAGGAAGACGGCCCUCCGGGUUGUAAACUGCUUUUAGUUGGGAAUAAAACGGGGCUCGUGAGCUCCCUUGCAUGUACCAUCAAAAAAAGGACCGGCUUAAUUCCCGUGCCAGCAGCCGCGGUAAUACGGAAGGUCCCGGGCGUUAUCCGGAUUUAUUUGGGUUUAAAGGGAGCGCAGGCGGACCUUUAAGUCAGCUGUGAAAUACGGCGGCUCAACCGUCGAACUGCAGUUGAUACUGGAGGUCUUGAGUGCACACAGGGAUGCUGGAAUUCAUGGUGUAGCGGUGAAAUGCUUAGAUAUGACGAAGAACUCCGAUUGCGAAGGCAGCCUGCUGUAGCGCAACUGACGCUGAAGCUCGAAAGCGUGGGUAUCGAACAGGAUUAGAUACCCUGGUAGUCCACGCGGUAAACGAUGGAUGCUCGCUGUUUGCGUCUGACGUAAGC
rnacentral:rRNA from 1 species